rnacentral:rRNA from 1 species
AAUAGAUACCCCGGUAGUCCACGCCGUAAACGAGUGAGUGCUAAGUGUUAGGGGGUUUCCGCCCCUUAGUGCUGCAGCUAACGCAUUAAGCACUCCGCCUGGGGAGUACGGUCGCAAGACUGAAACUCAAAGAAAUUGACGGGGGCCCGCACAAGCGGUGGAGCAUGUGGUUUAAUUCGAAGCAACGCGAAGAACCUUACCAGGUCUUGACAUCCCGCUGACCGCUAUGGAGACAUAGCUUUCCCUUCGGGGACAGCGGUGACAGGUGGUGCAUGGUUGUCGUCAGCUCGUGUCGUGAGAUGUUGGGUUAAGUCCCGCAACGAGCGCAACCCUUGUCCUUAGUUGCCAUCAUUCAGUUGGGCACUCUAAGGAGACUGCCGUACAAAUACGGAGGAAGGUGGGGAUGACGUCAAAUCAUCAUGCCCCUUAUGACCUGGGCUACACACGUGCUACAAUGGACGGUACAAACGGUUGCGAAGUCGCGAGACGGAGCCAAUCCGAGAAAGCCGUUCUCAGUUCGGAUUGCAGGCUGCAACCG